rfam:Triticum urartu cultivar G1812 contig1042995, whole genome shotgun sequence.
CAACUACUUCCUUCGUUCGGAAUUACUAGUCACAGAAAUGAAUGUAUCUAGACGUAUUUUAGUUCUAGAUACAUCCAUUUUCAAGACAAGUAAUUCCGAACGGAGGGAAUAACUC